rnacentral:sRNA from 2 species
CCGGAGGGUCCGCCGAAUCCUGCCGCCUUCCGGCUCCACAUCCACCCACGUACGGCAGGAGCGGGGGACCCAGGUAAGUCGCCGUGCGGAUCCGGUCGGGACCGUGAUCCGCAACGGCUCGGGGUGAAGUCGCGGCACGUCCGCGGCCGGGCAACUCCAGUCCGAACCCGACAGCUCACCUCGCAGGCGCCGGAGAGGAAUA